AGCUAAAGAAACACAACUGCGGGUUUUCUGCAGAGCAAAAUGGUUCUGAAAUGUCACUGAAUAGCUCACAAAGGACGCCAAUCUACGACAACAGAGACAUAAGCAUAUAGGAGAAAGGGUCCACACAUCCUCCUUUCAAAGGUCACAGAAAGCUUGCUGCAGAUCAGGAAAUGUCUUCAGUUUCCAAAGCCUCUCAUAGCAUGUGGAGAAAAGAGAGAGAAAGGGAGAGAAGAGUCAUGGACCCUACUUUAUGGUUGCCAUGGAUGCAAGGUCAGCCUUCCACACUUGGAUCUACCAGCAGAGUUCAGACAGGUCAACGUGUGACCGGCUCAGGCCCUGGGGUUAAAAGUUCAAGCAGCUAUGGAAAAACCAAUAUGUCCACGCAGAGUAUGCUGUACAAUUUAUUUCAAUUUACAUCAAGCCAUGCAUAUAAAAUUUAGAUAAAUUCCAUUCAGAUCUGAUGUUGCCUGACACACAAUGUAUGCAAACAGAUGUCUGUGGGGCUUUUUCUGUGCUUUAGAAAACAACAUUAAAUUUAAAAAUAUGUCUCUGGGAUUUCUUUAUUGAAUUA
rnacentral:lncRNA from 1 species